ACACAUGCAAGUCGAACGGAAAGGCCCUUCGGGGUACUCGAGUGGCGAACGGGUGAGUAACACGUGGGUGAUCUGCCCUGCACUUUGGGAUAAGCCUGGGAAACUGGGUCUAAUACCGAAUACACCCUGCUGGUCGCAUGGCCUGGUGGGGGAAAGCUUUUGCGGUGUGGGAUGGGCCCGCGGCCUAUCAGCUUGUUGGUGGGGUGAUGGCCUACCAAGGCGACGACGGGUAGCCGGCCUGAGAGGGUGUCCGGCCACACUGGGACUGAGAUACGGCCCAGACUCCUACGGGAGGCAGCAGUGGGGAAUAUUGCACAAUGGGCGCAAGCCUGAUGCAGCGACGCCGCGUGAGGGACGACGGCCUUCGGGUUGUAAACCUCUUUCAGCACAGACGAAGCGCAAGUGACGGUAUGUGCAGAAGAAGCACCGGCCAACUACGUGCCAGCAGCCGCGCGUAAUACGUAGGGUGCGAGCGUUGUCCGGAAUUACUGGGCGUAAAGAGCUCGUAGGUGGUUUGUCGCGUUGUUCGUGAAAACUCACAGCUCAACUGUGGGCGUGCGGGCGAUACGGGCAGACUGGAGUACUGCAGGGGAGACUGGAAUUCCUGGUGUAGCGGUGGAAUGCGCAGAUAUCAGGAGGAACACCGGUGGCGAAGGCGGGUCUCUGGGCAGUAACUGACGCUGAGGAGCGAAAGCGUGGGGAGCGAACAGGAUUAGAUACCCUGGUAGUCCACGCCGUAAACGGUGGGUACUAGGUGUGGGUUUCCUUCCUUGGGAUCCGUGCCGUAGCUAACGCAUUAAGUACCCCGCCUGGGGAGUACGGCCGCAAGGCUAAAACUCAAAGAAAUUGACGGGGGCCCGCACAAGCGGCGGAGCAUGUGGAUUAAUUCGAUGCAACGCGAAGAACCUUACCUGGGUUUGACAUGCACAGGACGCUGGUAGAGAUAUCAGUUCCCUUGUGGCCUGUGUGCAGGUGGUGCAUGGCUGUCGUCAGCUCGUGUCGUGAGAUGUUGGGUUAAGUCCCGCAACGAGCGCAACCCUUGUCUCAUGUUGCCAGCACGUCAUGGUGGGGACUCGUGAGAGACUGCCGGGGUCAACUCGGAGGAAGGUGGGGAUGACGUCAAGUCAUCAUGCCCCUUAUGUCCAGGGCUUCACACAUGCUACAAUGGCCGGUACAAAGGGCUGCGAUGCCGUGAGGUGGAGCGAAUCCUUUCAAAGCCGGUCUCAGUUCGGAUCGGGGUCUGCAACUCGACCCCGUGAAGUCGGAGUCGCUAGUAAUCGCAGAUCAGCAACGCUGCGGUGAAUACGUUCCCGGGCCUUGUACACACCGCCCGUCACGUCAUGAAAGUCGGUAACACCCGAAGCCGGUGGCCUAACCCCUCGUGGGAGGGA
rnacentral:rRNA from 1 species